GACGUAACGAUACUUCUGUUAUUACUGGGCGAGGUGUAGUUGGCGGAUAAUGACUUCCCUUGCAUAAAAUGCAACGAGCGAUACUUUGUUGUUCGCUUAUUCCAAUUAUAAAAUAAUGGUCUGCUUUACCCUUAGACUGUUCCAGAUUUAUUAAUGUAAUAUAACGGAUGGGAUCCAAAAUCGGUGAUUCCUAACCACAUUAAUUCUGAUGAUGAUGACAAAGGAAGACAUAUUGUUCGACUAAUUAAAUUUACUCCCCGAAUUUGAAUUGACAGUAAAUUCAUACACUGAUCUCCUGACGCCCCUAUUUAAAUAUCUCAUUUUUUAACAAGAACUUGUUAAAAAAUAAAAAUCCAUUCAUUGCUACUAUAGGACCCGGCAGAGCUACAAUUUCACGCUGGGUGCCUCCUACAGUAAAAAUUCUUAAAUGUCUCCUGGACGUUGCAAGUGCUACAAAAUUAUCACCAGCUGCAAUACAAUGUCCUUCUUCAUCUUCAGGAAGAUCUAAUGACCAUUCCUUAUUUCCAGAACCCCAAC
rnacentral:misc_RNA from 1 species